UACAGAGGGGGCAAGCGUUGUUCGGAAUUACUGGGCGUAAAGGGCGCGUAGGCGGCCUGCUAAGUCGAACGUGAAAUCCCCGAGCUCAACUCGGGAACUGCGUCCGAUACUGGCAGGCUUGAAUCCGGGAGAGGGAUGCGGAAUUCCAGGUGUAGCGGUGAAAUGCGUAGAUAUCUGGAGGAACACCGGUGGCGAAGGCGGCAUCCUGGACCAUUACUGACACUGAAAAGCGAAAGCCAGGGGAGCAAACGGG
rnacentral:rRNA from 1 species